rnacentral:rRNA from 1 species
AACGCGAAGAACCUUACCUGGGUUUGACAUACGCCGGAAAGCUGCAGAGAUGUGGCCCCCCUUGUGGUCGGUGUACAGGUGGUGCAUGGCUGUCGUCAGCUCGUGUCGUGAGAUGUUGGGUUAAGUCCCGCAACGAGCGCAACCCUUGUCCUGUGUUGCUAGCAAGUGAUGUUGGGGACUCGCAGGAGACUGCCGGGGGUCAACUCGGAGGAAGGUGGGGACGACGUCAAGUCAUCAUGCCCCUUAUGUCCAGGGCUUCACACAUGCUACAAUGGCCGGUACAGAGGGCUGCGAUAUCGCGAGAUGGAGCGAAUCCCUUAAAGCCGGUCUCAGUUCGGAUCGGGGUCUGCAACUCGACCCCGUGAAGUUGGAGUCGCUAGUAAUCGCAGAUCAGCAACGCUGCGGUGAAUACGUUCCCGGGCCUUGUACACACCGAGACGAC